UUAUGUGCUGCGUUUAGACAACUUUAGUGGGGACCUUUGGUCGUCACUGUAGACUUAUCGUCUCCUUCGUCUCCCGAUAUCAGAGAAACGGAACCAUCAGAUUUGAUCAUCUCAUCAAUCGAUCAACCACGAUGUAGAAUCAAUGCGGGAUUUAAUUGCGUCUGGCGAUGGAGACGACUAUAUAAGAAGGCCGGCCGAUCCUCCUCCACCGUCGAAGUGUGCUUGCUCCGCUUCUGGGAGGCGAAAAAGUCCGCCGUGGUGGAGAGCUCAUGGGCGUCGACAUGCUUUUGGUUGAUUCUCAGGGUUCAUCACGAAGGAUAAGCUAAAGGAAGUGAUGAAAUCGAUGGCAGAACUUUGGGAGAUGAUGAUCGGUAUCUACAUUGAUGGCAAUGGAGACAUCUAUAAUGGCUUCAAAACACCUCUCAGGAAUCAGCAUGGAAUGAACUAAUAGAAAUAUCCC